rnacentral:rRNA from 1 species
UGGGGAAUAUUGGACAAUGGGCGCAAGCCUGAUCCAGCAAUGCCGCGUGUGUGAAGAAGGCCUUCGGGUUGUAAAGCACUUUUAUCAGGAGCGAAACGCUGUCGGCUAAUACCCGGCGGAACUGACGGUACCUGAGGAAUAAGCACCGGCUAACUUCGUGCCAGCAGCCGCGGUAAUACGAAGGGUGCAAGCGUUAAUCGGAAUUACUGGGCGUAAAGCGUGCGUAGGCGGUUUCUUAAGUCUGCUGUGAAAUCCCCGGGCUCAACCUGGGAAUGGCAGUGGAUACUGGGAGGCGUAGAGUGUGUCAGAGGGCUGGUGGGAAUUCCCAGGUUGCUGAGCGGUGAAAUGCGUAGAGAUCGGGAGGAACGAUCAGUGGCGAAGGCGGCCAGCCUGGGCACAAGCACUGACGCUGAGGCACGAAAGCGUGGGGAGCAAACAGGAUUAGAUACCCUGGUAGUCCACGCCCUAAACGAUGCGAACUGGAUGUUGGUCUCAACUCGGAGAUCAGUGUCGAAGUUAACGCGUUAAGUUCGCCGCCUGGGGAGUACGGUCGCAAGACUGGAAACUCAAAUGAAUUGACGGGGUCAUAGCUGUUUCCUG